CCGCGUUUUACCCCCUUUUCCGCGUUUUACCCCCUUUUCCGCGUUUUACCCUCUUUUCCGUUUCCGUUUUUCCGUUUCCGUCAUUCCGGUUCCGCCGGUCCGUUCCGUUUCCGCGUUUUACCCCUACCCCUAUUUUGGGGCACAAAAAAAGAUGUGUUAGUAGAAAAAGGUGUGUUAUUGGAGAAAGGUGUGCUAUUUUAAAAGGUGUGUUAUCUUCCAAAGGUGUGUUAUCUUUCAAAGGUGUGUUAAUUGAGCACACCUUACCCUUACUCGAAAGGUGUGUUAGAUAAAGGUGUGUUACAGAACACACCUUUUGCGUACACUGUGUUCUGCUCAGCACACCUUGGUGUGUUUUGUAGCACACCUUGGUGUGUUUUGUAGCACACCUUGGUGUGUUCAGUGACAAGAAAACACACCUUGUGUGCUAUUUUAGCACACCUUGUGUGUUAAAUAACACACCAAGGUGUGUUGUUUAGCACACCUAUUUUUAAGAGUGUUCGUAUACAAUUUGCCAUAUCGAAAAUAUAUUCUUCUUGUCAGAUUGUAGAUGAUUAGAAGACUAGAAGUGGUUUUUCCGUUGUGGAAUAACUGACGUGUGGCUGUGUGCUAAAACUGCCGACAGAACAAUAGUGGCGGCGAAAAAAAGCG